rnacentral:rRNA from 1 species
GAUGAACGCUGGCGGCGUGCCUAAUACAUGCAAGUCGAGCGAACGGACGAGAAGCUUGCUUCUCUGAUGUUAGCGGCGGACGGGUGAGUAACACGUGGAUAACCUACCUAUAAGACUGGGAUAACUUCGGGAAACCGGAGCUAAUACCGGAUAACAUUUUGAACCGCAUGAUUCAAAAGUGAAAGACGGUCUUGCUGUCACUUAUAGAUGGAUCCGCGCUGCAUUAGCUAGUUGGUAAGGUAACGGCUUACCAAGGCAACGAUGCAUAGCCGACCUGAGAGGGUGAUCGGCCACACUGGAACUGAGACACGGUCCAGACUCCUACGGGAGGCAGCAGUAGGGAAUCUUCCGCAAUGGGCGAAAGCCUGACGGAGCAACGCCGCGUGAGUGAUGAAGGUCUUCGGAUCGUAAAACUCUGUUAUUAGGGAAGAACAUAUGUGUAAGUAACUGUGCACAUCUUGACGGUACCUAAUCAGAAAGCCACGGCUAACUACGUGCCAGCAGCCGCGGUAAUACGUAGGUGGCAAGCGUUAUCCGGAAUUAUUGGGCGUAAAGCGCGCGUAGGCGGUUUUUUAAGUCUGAUGUGAAAGCCCACGGCUCAACCGUGGAGGGUCAUUGGAAACUGGAAAACUUGAGUGCAGAAGAGGAAAGUGGAAUUCCAUGUGUAGCGGUGAAAUGCGCAGAGAUAUGGAGGAACACCAGUGGCGAAGGCGACUUUCUGGUCUGUAACUGACGCUGAUGUGCGAAAGCGUGGGGAUCAAACAGGAUUAGAUACCCUGGUAGUCCACGCCGUAAACGAUGAGUGCUAAGUGUUAGGGGGUUUCCGCCCCUUAGUGCUGCAGCUAACGCAUUAAGCACUCCGCCUGGGGAGUACGACCGCAAGGUUGAAACUCAAAGGAAUUGACGGGGACCCGCACAAGCGGUGGAGCAUGUGGUUUAAUUCGAAGCAACGCGAAGAACCUUACCAAAUCUUGACAUCCUUUGACAACUCUAGAGAUAGAGCCUUCCCCUUCGGGGGACAAAGUGACAGGUGGUGCAUGGUUGUCGUCAGCUCGUGUCGUGAGAUGUUGGGUUAAGUCCUGCAACGAGCGCAACCCUUAAGCUUAGUUGCCAUCAUUAAGUUGGGCACUCUAAGUUGACUGCCGGUGACAAACCGGAGGAAGGUGGGGAUGACGUCAAAUCAUCAUGCCCCUUAUGAUUUGGGCUACACACGUGCUACAAUGGACAAUACAAAGGGCAGCGAAACCGCGAGGUCAAGCAAAUCCCAUAAAGUUGUUCUCAGUUCGGAUUGUAGUCUGCAACUCGACUACAUGAAGCUGGAAUCGCUAGUAAUCGUAGAUCAGCAUGCUACGGUGAAUACGUUCCCGGGUCU